GAUUUCUGGCUUGAUAUAUUUUGCCGGCCACGGUUUCGUGUGUUAGUGCUUGAUAUUCUGGCCAUCCUUCCAAUGGCUAUUCAUCCUUCUUCAUUGAAGGUGUGAGUGGUAUUGGAUCUUUUACUUUGAAAAAAUUAGAGUGUUUCAAGCAGGCUUUAUGCUAUGAAUACAUUAGCAUGGAAUAAUAAUUUAGGACUUCGGUUCUAUUUUGUUGGUUUCUAGGACUGAAGUAAUGAUUGAUAGGGAUAGUUGGGGGUGCUAGUAUUCAGCGGCCAGAGGUGAAAUUCUCGGAUUCGCUGAAGACUAACUUAUGCGAAAGCAUU
rnacentral:rRNA from 2 species